GUCUGAAAGCGAAUAAGAGGCCAAGCUGGUAAAUGGACUGAAGAAUACUCCUGAAGCCUACAGGGACUCCCUAGAUUUCAGUUUUGUGUCUUUUACAGAGCCUUCACCUAUGAAUCAAAGGGAAAAAAGAUCACUGGCACUUCUGUAUUUCAAGGCAAUGAAGUGAUCAAGAUGGAGGAGAAGCUCCAGUGAUUUGAAAAACUCCAGUCAGUAAAACAGAAACAGAGAACGGGAAUUUAAGACUUAAAAGUGUUUCAGAAAUAGAUUACAAGAAAGGCAGAACUGAAAUGUUUUGCCCAUGAAAAGAACUCAAGUAUGCUAAGUCUUUUCCUGGAUACUACAUUUAUGGCAUCAGAAGAAUUUUUGCAUGGAAAGGGAAACAAACACACGGAAGGCAGAAGGGAUCAAGCAAGAUGGCAAGGAAGCAGACCCAGAAGGAGCAUAAGACAAAAUCCAAGAACUUUAAAACAUGCAUAUUUCCUAGUUUUAGGGAAGUGAAGGAAACACCAAUGGCUUACAUCAUGUGUCAACACAAAAACAAGCAAAAAGAGUUUAAAAGGAGCAAGAAGUGACUCAUGACUUCAGCAGGACAAAAAUUUUCAGUGUCCCAUAGUUCUACAGGUUUCCCCCCAAUCUUUCUUGCUGAAGACAUCUCAGGUUGUCUUCAUAAUAUCUGCUCUCACAGGGAGAAAUUAUGAAAAAGGAGGCAGGUUUAGGGUACUAAGCCAAA